GAAUAAGAAAAAGCUUGCUGUAGAACUUUGUGGACGAAUAAAAGAAAAAUGUGAACUACUUGACAAACAUAGCUUUGCGGAUAAAGAGCUUGCUCGAGAAGCUGAAAUAUCGAAACAAGAGG